GAUGAACGCUAGCGAUAGGCUUAACACAUGCAAGUCGAGGGGCAGCAUGGUCUUAGCUUGCUAAGACUGAUGGCGACCGGCGCACGGGUGCGUAACGCGUAUGCAACUUGCCUCACAGAGGGGGAUAACCCGUCGAAAGACGGACUAAUACCGCGUACACUUGGGAUAGGGCAUCCUGACCCAAGGAAAUGAAAUUCGCUGUGAGAUAGGCAUGCGUCCCAUUAGCUAGUUGGUGAGGUAACGGCUCACCAAGGCGACGAUGGGUAGGGGAACUGAGAGGUUGACCCCCCACACUGGUACUGAGACACGGACCAGACUCCUACGGGAGGCAGCAGUGAGGAAUAUUGGUCAAUGGGCGAGAGCCUGAACCAGCCAAGUCGCGUGAAGGAUGACUGUCUUAUGGAUUGUAAACUUCUUUUAUACGGGAAUAACAAGAGCCACGUGUGGCUCCCUGCAUGUACCGUAUGAAUAAGCAUCGGCUAACUCCGUG
rnacentral:rRNA from 1 species